GACGAACGCUGGCGGCGUGCUUAACACAUGCAAGUCGAACGGAAAGGCACUGCUUUUGUGGGGUGCUCGAGUGGCGAACGGGUGAGUAACACGUGAGUAACCUGCCCUUGACUUUGGGAUAACUUCAGGAAACUGGGGUUAAUACCGGAUAGGAGCUCCUGCUGCAUGGUGGGGGUUGGAAAGUUUCGGCGGUUGGGGAUGGACUCGCGGUUUAUCAGCUUGUUGGUGGGGUAGUGGCUUACCAAGGCUUUGACGGGUAGCCGGCCUGAGAGGGUGACCGGCCACAUGGGGACUGAGAUACGGCCCAGACUCCUACGGGAGACAGCAGUGGGGAAUAUUGCACAAUGGGCGGAAGCCUGAUGCAGCAACGCCGCGUGCGGGAUGACGGCCUUCGGGUUGUAAACCGCAUUCGCCUGUGACGAAGCGUGGGUGACGGUAAUGGGUAAAGAAGCACCGGCUAACUACGUG
rnacentral:rRNA from 1 species